rnacentral:rRNA from 1 species
ACAUGCAGUCGAGCGGACAGAAGGGAGCUUGCUCCCGGAUGUUAGCGGCGGACGGGUGAGUAACACGUGGGUAACCUGCCUGUAAGACUGGGAUAACUCCGGGAAACCGGAGCUAAUACCGGAUAGUUCCUUGAACCGCAUGGUUCAAGGAUGAAAGACGGUUUCGGCUGUCACUUACAGAUGGACCCGCGGCGCAUUAGCUAGUUGGUGGGGUAAUGGCUCACCAAGGCGACGAUGCGUAGCCGACCUGAGAGGGUGAUCGGCCACACUGGGACUGAGACACGGCCCAGACUCCUACGGGAGGCAGCAGUAGGGAAUCUUCCGCAAUGGACGAAAGUCUGACGGAGCAACGCCGCGUGAGUGAUGAAGGUUUUCGGAUCGUAAAGCUCUGUUGUUAGGGAAGAACAAGUGCGAGAGUAACUGCUCGCACCUUGACGGUACCUAACCAGAAAGCCACGGCUAACUACGUGCCAGCAGCCGCGGUAAUACGUAGGUGGCAAGCGUUGUCCGGAAUUAUUGGGCGUAAAGGGCUCGCAGGCGGUUUCUUAAGUCUGAUGUGAAAGCCCCCGGCUCAACCGGGGAGGGUCAUUGGAAACUGGGAAACUUGAGUGCAGAAGAGGAGAGUGGAAUUCCACGUGUAGCGGUGAAAUGCGUAGAGAUGUGGAGGAACACCAGUGGCGAAGGCGACUCUCUGGUCUGUAACUGACGCUGAGGAGCGAAAGCGUGGGGAGCGAACAGGAUUAGAUACCCUGGUAGUCCACGCCGUAAACGAUGAGUGCUAAGUGUUAGGGGGUUUCCGCCCCUUAGUGCUGCAGCUAACGCAUUAAGCACUCCGCCUGGGGAGUACGGUCGCAAGACUGAAACUCAAAGGAAUUGACGGGGGCCCGCACAAGCGGUGGAGCAUGUGGUUUAAUUCGAAGCAACGCGAAGAACCUUACCAGGUCUUGACAUCCUCUGACAACCCUAGAGAUAGGGCUUUCCCUUCGGGGACAGAGUGACAGGUGGUGCAUGGUUGUCGUCAGCUCGUGUCGUGAGAUGUUGGGUUAAGUCCCGCAACGAGCGCAACCCUUGAUCUUAGUUGCCAGCAUUCAGUUG